rnacentral:rRNA from 1 species
UAGGGAGCGAAGCAAUUGGAAGUGGUUCCAAGAAAAGCCUCUAAGCUUCAGUCUAACGAUGACCGUACCGCAAACCGACACAGGUGGGCGAGAUGAGUAUUCUAAGGCGCUUGAGAGAACUCGGGAGAAGGAACUCGGCAAAUUGGUACCGUAACUUCGGGAUAAGGUACGCCCUUGUAGCUUGACUGGCCUGCGCCAGGAGGGUGAAGGGGUUGCAAUAAACUGGUGGCUGCGACUGUUUAAUAAAAACACAGCACUCUGCAAACACGAAAGUGGACGUAUAGGGUGUGACGCCUGCCCGGUGCCGGAAGAUUAAAUGAUGGGGUGCAAGCUCUUGAUUGAAGUCCCGGUAAACGGCGGCCGUAACUAUAACGGUCCUAAGGUAGCGAAAUUCCUUGUCGGGUAAGUUCCGACCUGCACGAAUGGCGUAACGAUGGCCACACUGUCUCCUCCCGAGACUCAGCGAAGUUGAAGUGUUUGUGAUGAUGCAAUCUACCCGCGGCUAGACGGAAAGACCCCAUGAACCUUUACUGUAGCUUUGCAUUGGACUUUGAACCGAUCUGUGUAGGAUAGGUGGGAGGCUAUGAAACCGGAACGCUAGUUUCGGUGGAGCCGUCCUUGAAAUACCACCCUGGUUUGUUUGAGGUUCUAACCUUGGCCCGUGAUCCGGGUCGGGGACAGUGCAUGGUAGGCAGUUUGACUGGGGCGGUCUCCUCCCAAAGCGUAACGGAGGAGUACGAAGGUACGCUAGGUACGGUCGGAAAUCGUGCUGAUAGUGCAAUGGCAUAAGCGUGCUUAACUGCGAGACCGACAAGUCGAGCAGGUGCGAAAGCAGGUCAUAGUGAUCCGGUGGUUCUGUAUGGAAGGGCCAUCGCUCAACGGAUAAAAGGUACUCUGGGGAUAACAGGCUGAUACCGCCCAAGAGUUCAUAUCGACGGCGGUGUUUGGCACCUCGAUGUCGGCUCAUCUCAUCCUGGGGCUGUAGCCGGUCCCAAGGGUAUGGCUGUUCGCCAUUUAAAGAGGUACGUGAGCUGGGUUUAAAACGUCGUGAGACAGUUUGGUCCCUAUCUGCCGUGGGCGUUGGAUAUUUGAAGGGGGCUGCUCCUAGUACGAGAGGACCGGAGUGGACGAACCUCUGGUGUACCGGUUGUCACGCCAGUGGCAUCGCCGGGUAGCUAUGUUCGGAAGAGAUAACCGCUGAAAGCAUCUAAGCGGGAAACUCGCCUUAAGAUGAGAUAUCCCUGGGGACUAGAUCCCCUUGAAGGGUCGUUCGAGACCAGGACGUUGAUAGGUCAGGUGUGUAAGCGCAGUAAUGCGUUCAGCUAACUGAUACUAAUUGCCCGUAAGGCUUGAUCCU